UGUGAUGUGUGAGCUCUAAACGGGGAGAGUGGAGAGAAAACAAAGUGAAAGCACCAUGAGCCUUCAGAUGCGAUGGACUCUUCUUAUCUUAUUGUUUCUACACAACACAGAUAUCUCCUGGGCAGACAGCUUCAUCGUUGUCGGUCCUUCUAAGUCCGUUGUCACUUAUGUCGGUGAAGAUGUGGUCCUGCCAGCCUCCCUCUCACCAGCUCUUAAUGCCGAGGUCUUUGAAGUCAUGUGGGUUACAACGGACUUCUCCUCACCGGUGCUUUUAUACCAGGAUAACAGAAUCGAAACAUAAAUUGAGAGAAGAAAAGUAAUGGUCCUAGACAAUCUGAAGUUUGGCAACGUAUCUCUAAUAAUCACAAAUGUCCGUGUUUCCGAUGACGAUCUCUACAAAUGUUUUGUUUUCUCUGGAGAAAGAGAAGAACAGACUCAGGUCUCACUCACUGUUGAAGUUUUAGGUGCUCAGCCCUCCACUUCUAUGAGCUCCACUGUAGGCCAAAAGACCCGACUGGAGUGCAGUACUGAGAAGUGGAACCCCCAACCAGAAGUCACCUGGAGGGACAUGAAUGGAGCGGAUGUGACGUCACAGUCCACAAUAAAAUCAGAGUGGGACUCCGAGGAUCUUCUGAAAGUGAGCAGCGUCCUCCCGGUGAAGGAGGAGUACAACGUGUUCAGCUGUCUGAUAAGAAGUAAAGCAC